rnacentral:rRNA from 1 species
UACGGAGGAUGCAAGCGUUAUCCGGAUUCAUUGGGUUUAAAGGGUGCGUAGGCGGACUAUUAAGUCAGUGGUGAAAGCCUGCAGCUUAACUGCAGAACUGCCAUUGAUACUGAUAGUCUUGAGUUUGGUUAGGGUAGGCGGAAUGUGUAAUGUAGCGGUGAAAUGCUUAGAUAUUACACAGAACACCAAUUGCGUAGGCAGCUUACUGAGCCGACACUGACGCUGAGGCACGAAAGCGUGGGGAUCAAACAGGA